CAAAUUGCACACAGUUAAAAUAAUUUUUCCUUGUUUGUUUUAAUGCAGUUUCAAAUGGGCUUUCUUCGGAUGUGGAGGAAACACUGCAGCCCAAAAUAACAGUACUUCCUUUCAACUGUAUUGACAGGAACUGGGACUAUUUGGACUCAGUGUCAGCCACUACUCAUAUCGAAUCAAACUUCUCUUCAGUAAAAGGUUAUUUCUCUUUUCUUUCCCUAUGGUAACGUGUGAGUUUUGAAAAAGCCCACUGACAAUUACAAAGUGCAUCAAUGUGAUACCCAGAUUUGUGCAAUACGAUACCCAUGCUUUGGUUCUAUGGCCAUCACGGUUGCCUUUUCACAAUAAUAAAUACGACAGCUAGCAAAAAUAAAUCACCUCAUUUUAUGUAAGACAUCUCUCUUUGACAGGCCACACUAUAUUUAUAAUCAUUAAUCUAGCUCACUGCUAUGUCAUUCACAUUUCAGUUUUACAUGAAUAUGCAAAGAAUACAAUAAUCAACUGAACUGUCAAACCUAAACAAUUCAAUUUAUUACUUAGCAUAGAAUCUGUUGAAUAUUUUUGCCUCCCCGCUGAGCAAGGGAAAUACUGUCAAAUACAGUCUAAUGCUUGGUCCUAACUACUCAUCUGUCAAGUUGACGCCUCAUUAAAAAAAAAGGUACGUUUGACUCAACAAAGGUAUUAAAUUAUUUUCCCUAUUAUAAGUGCUUCACAGUAGCAAAUAAGUUAAUUUCAGAACUUACCACAGGCAGAUUGCUUUGUAGUUUUGUUUUUUCACCCUUUAGAGAAAUGGUAACUUCACCUAACUCAAUUUGAUUAAUUUAGUUCUUUGUAAAAUAGUAUUUGUGAUACUUUGAAUAAAAGAGUGAAUUAAGCUGCUGUUUUGAAAGAUUCAAUUGUUAAAUGAAGCAGAGGCUUUGUCUCUAAUUAAUUUUAGGGCUGCACUAGCCAAUAAGUUUAAUUCAAAUUGAGCUAUGCUGUAAACAUACUGGGUUUUGAAGACUUGGUUCAUAAAAAGAGCUGUAAAAUAACUCAAUACUUUUUUUAUAUUGAUGACAUUGAAAUGAUAACUUGGGUAUAUAGUGUUAAAUAAAUUCAUUUCACCUAUUUUUACUUUUUCUAAUGGGGCUACUAGAAAAUUUAAAUUUGCAUAUGUGGCCUUCAUUUGUGGCUAUAUUUCUGUUGGACAACACUGUUUUAGAGGGUCCAGGUGGAGUAUACAAGGCUUCUGUGGGUAUAACAGAGCUAAUUAAACCCCAAAAUCUCUGAAAAUCAUGAUUUAAACAUACUUCCAAGUAUUAAUAUCUUGAAAUGUAUAUUGCAUCUAUUUUAAAAACAUGCAUCUGUCAAAACAACGGGACUCCACUAUAGCCAUAAAACCUGUUAGCUGUCAAAGUAUGAAUAUCAAAAUAUGCAUCUUCUGAGUUUGCUUCUGAUGUGCCUUAGGGAUAAUGCAGAUAAUUCAAGCUUAAAACCAAAUGUGUUUGUCAUUUCCAGAUGAGAGAGUUAACAUUACAAGGCCCUACAAGAAAGACACGUUGCAAUUCAAGUCCAUAUUCUUGACCUUGCAAUUCAAGUCCAUAUUCUUGACCUUGCCCUGUUACUGUGAAGACUCAUGGGUCUGUCCAGUUAGUCUCUCCUCAUUGCCUGAAAGCAUCCCUUGCUCCAGCGGUCCUUGUCUCACAAAUCAUUCUCCAGCCAACUUUUCACAUUUUCUCUUCACACUUGAGACUGCUUCAUGGGAUCCUGAUCAAUUUGGUGUUUCUUCUCCUUUCUUUUUGAGCAAAGAAAGGACAAAUGAGUCAGAAAGAGGAGAGAAGAUAAUGAGGGUGACUAACUCAGGAUCACUUCUGUCACUUGUAGUGGCUGAGGGCCAGGCGAUACUCCAGUGACACGCUCCCGGCUGGCCCCAUCACACAGCCAUCAAGAACCUACUGUGAUCAUCAGAUACUUACUUCGACAUUUCAGCUAAAUCUUUAAGGAAGUGAAAGAAUCAGACUUUAGGAUCCUCUUAAGCUCAGAAGAUGCUGUUUAUAUUCGACCUCCACUCUGGUUAAAGAAGGCAAUUUGUUCCUCCUCAAAUGUUUUCAAGAUGGAUUUAAAGCAGUUUUUUCCAAAACUUUAAAAGCCAAUUCAGGAUCAGCACCCCCUGUUCCAAUGCCAAAGGAAGAUUAAAAUAAUAACACACAGAUGCCCACACUACCUGAAAAUGUGCACUUUGGGAAGUUAGGUGUAACUUAAGUGCAGAGAGUCUUCUACUAAAAAACUUUUACAAAAGUCACCAUGGUCCCAUUUGAAAUUACCCAGGUCAGGAGCUGUCCCUCUGGUCAGUGACUCUGUAGGAAUAACCACGGGGACUGCUUCGUGAUAAAGAUCUUGCUUCCUAUUUCAGAAGCUCACGGGGACUGCUUCGUGAUAAAGAUCUUGCUUCCUAUUUCAGAAGCUCUGAACACCAAAGAUAAAAGCUAUCUCAUUUUCACUUGCUUUUAAGAAACUGAAAAUAGGGACUUUCGUGGUGGUCCAGUGGUUGAGAAUCCGUCUUCCAGUGCAUGGGAUGCGGGUUUGAUCCCUGAUUGGGGAACUAA